rnacentral:rRNA from 1 species
GGAGCAUGUGGUUUAAUUCGAAGCAACGCGAAGAACCUUACCAGGUCUUGACAUCCUUUGACCACUCGAGAGAUCGAGCUUUCCCUUCGGGGACAAAGUGACAGGUGGUGCAUGGUUGUCGUCAGCUCGUGUCGUGAGAUGUUGGGUUAAGUCCCGCAACGAGCGCAACCCUUAUUACUAGUUGCCAGCAUUCAGUUGGGCACUCUAGUGAGACUGCCGGUGACAAACCGGAGGAAGGUGGGGAUGACGUCAAAUCAUCAUGCCCCUUAUGACCUGGGCUACACACGUGCUACAAUGGAUGGUACAACGAGUCGCGAAGUCGUGAGGCCAAGCUAAUCUCUUAAAGCCAUUCUCAGUUCGGAUUGUAGGCUGCAACUCGCCUACANGAAGCCNNAANCGCU